rnacentral:rRNA from 1 species
UAGAGUUGAUCCUGGCUCCGAUGAACGCUUGCGGCCGGCUUAAUACAUGCACGUCGAGGGGCAGCAGGGGCGUACCAAUACGUUCGCUGGCGACCGGCAAACGGGUGCGGAACACGUACACAACCUUCCUUAAAGUGGGGGAUAGCCCGGGGAAACCCGGAUUAAUACCCCGUAACAUAAUGAAGUGGCAUCGCUUUAUUAUUCUUCAUCAAUGCGCUUAAAGAUGGGUGUGCGACUGAUUAGGCUGUUGGCGGGUAACUCUCCACCCACCUACGAUCAGUAACUGGUGUGAGAGCACGACCAGUCCACGGGACUGAGAUCGCCCCGACUCCUACGGAGGAGAGUAAGGAUAUUGGUCAUGCAGCAGUCUGAUCACACUGCGCGGGAGAUGAUGUCUCUGGAUUGAAACUUCUUUACUGGAGAACCAAAUCUGUGUGCUGACGUACAGACUAUACACGGCUAUUCGCGCAGCGCUCGUAUCGAGGGGCAGCUCUUCGGAUCACUGGUCUAAGGUGCUAGUGGUGGUAGUCACGGUAAACUUCAGCUACUUGAAAUGCAUGCACGUCAUCUUAAUCGUGGCGCACGAAUUGUAUGACGGUGAGCUCAAUAUCAUGGAAACAUCGGAGCAUUGUUUCGGAUCUAGACUGUGCUAGCUGGUACAACGAUGAUCCGAUGGUGCCUACAUGACUCACCCCAUACUGUGCGUACGAGUAAUCCCUGGAUGAUUCAGUACUAGAUCGGGUCCACCGGACUGUAUCUGUACGACUCCGUAUCGGUCGGAUCGUUAUCCGUACGAGUGGUCUCCGGAGUUACGCGUCACCAGGCCAGGUGCAUAACGCAA